rnacentral:rRNA from 1 species
AACAAACGCUGGCGGCGUGCCUAAUACAUGCAAGUCGAACGGGGAAAGCUUUCGGGUGAGUACUAGUGGCGCACGGGUGAGUAACGCGUGGAUAAUCUGCCUUAGAGUGGGGGAUAACUAGUCGAAAGAUCAGCUAAUACCGCAUAAGACCACAGGAGCUGCGGCUCUAGGGGUCAAAGGUUUUUCGCUCUAAGAUGAGUCCGCGUAAGAUUAGCUAGUUGGUGAGGUAACGGCUCACCAAGGCGACGAUCUUUAACUGGUCUGAGAGGAUGAUCAGUCACACUGGAACUGAGACACGGUCCAGACUCCUACGGGAGGCAGCAGUAGGGAAUAUUGCACAAUGGAGGAAACUCUGAUGCAGCGACGCCGCGUGAGUGAUGAAGGCCUUCGGGUCGUAAAGCUCUGUCGCAGGGGAAUAACACAAUGAAUGUACCCUGUAAGAAAGGAUCGGCUAACUUCGUGCCAGCCGCCGCGGUAACAC